rnacentral:tRNA from 1 species
GUCCUGGUAGCCCAACGGCAGGAGGCAGCGCCUUCAAAACGCGCACAGUGCGAGUUCGACUCUCGCCCAGGACA